rnacentral:rRNA from 1 species
GUGCGCAGGCGGACCGGCAAGUGUCUUGUGAAAGCCCACAGCUCAACUGUGGAAUUGCAGGACAAACUGCCGGUCUUGAGCCCGAGAGAGGCUGUCGGAACUCUAGGUGGAGCGGUGAAAUGCGUAGAUAUCUAGAGGAACGCCAAAGGCGAAAGCAGGCAGCUAGCUCGGCGCUGACGCUCAGGCACGAAAGCGUGGGUAGCGAACGGGAUUAGAUACCCCGGUAGUCCACGCCGUAAACGUUGUGCACUAGGUCGAGGAGGUUUUGACGCCAUCUCGGCCGCAGCGAAAGCAUUAAGUGCACCGCCUGGGGACUACGGUCGCAAGGCUAAAACUCAAAGGAAUUGACGGGGGCUCACACAAGCGGUGGAGCAUGUGGCUUAAUUCGAAGCAACGCGAAGAACCUUAUCCUGGGCUUGACAUGCUUGGAUUAGCUUCCCGAAAGGGAAGUGACGCCCUUACGGGUGGAACUUGCACAGGUGCUGCAUGGCUGUCGUCAGCUCGUGCUGUGAAGUGUCGGGUUAAGUCCCUUAACGAGCGAAACCCCUGCCGUUAGUUGCUAACGGUCCGGCCGAGGACUCUAACGGGACUGCCGGUGUCAAACCGAAGGAAGGUGGGGACGACGUCAAGUCAUCAUGGCCUUUAUGCCCAGGGCUGCACACGUGCUACAAUGGCAGGGACAAAGCGACGCAAACCGGUAACGGGGAGCAAAUCGCAAAAACCCUGCCCCAGUUCGGAUUGUGGUCUGCAACUCGACCACAUGAAGCUGGAAUC